rnacentral:rRNA from 1 species
UCUUGCUGCCAAGCACAGAAUGAUCUGAGAAAUGAAGCAGGGUUAGGCCUGGUUAGUACUUAGAAUGAAGCAGGGUUAGGCCUGGUUAGUACUUGGAUAGGAAACUGCCUUAGAAUACCAGCUGCUGUAGGCU